rnacentral:rRNA from 1 species
UGCAGUCGACGAUGAAGCCUUUCGGGGUGGAUUAGUGGCGAACGGGUGAGUAACACGUGGGCAAUCUGCCCUUCACUCUGGGACAAGCCCUGGAAACGGGGUCUAAUACCGGAUAAUACUUCUGCCUGCAUGGGUGGGGGUUGAAAGCUCCGGCGGUGAAGGAUGAGCCCGCGGCCUAUCAGCUUGUUGGUGGGGUAAUGGCCUACCAAGGCGACGACGGGUAGCCGGCCUGAGAGGGCGACCGGCCACACUGGGACUGAGACACGGCCCAGACUCCUACGGGAGGCAGCAGUGGGGAAUAUUGCACAAUGGGCGAAAGCCUGAUGCAGCGACGCCGCGUGAGGGAUGACGGCCUUCGGGUUGUAAACCUCUUUCAGCAGGGAAGAAGCGCAAGUGACGGUACCUGCAGAAGAAGCGCCGGCUAACUACGUGCCAGCAGCCGCGGUAAUACGUAGGGCGCAAGCGUUGUCCGGAAUUAUUGGGCGUAAAGAGCUCGUAGGCGGCUUGUCACGUCGGAUGUGAAAGCCCGGGGCUUAACCCCGGGUCUGCAUUCGAUACGGGCUAGCUAGAGUGUGGUAGGGGAGAUCGGAAUUCCUGGUGUAGCGGUGAAAUGCGCAGAUAUCAGGAGGAACACCGGUGGCGAAGGCGGAUCUCUGGGCCAUUACUGACGCUGAGGAGCGAAAGCGUGGGGAGCGAACAGGAUUAGAUACCCUGGUAGUCCACGCCGUAAACGUUGGGAACUAGGUGUUGGCGACAUUCCACGUCGUCGGUGCCGCAGCUAACGCAUUAAGUUCCCCGCCU